CGCCCUCUGUCAGCGCGCGCGGCGGCGCCGGGGCCCGGUGCGUAGCGCGGCGCGCGGGGGGGACGGACGAGACCACCGCGGCGGCGCGGGGGGGUGCGGGGCUGUCCCGGCACGGACAGAGCGGGGUUUUCCGGGAGGCACCGCUGCGAGGAGGCGGCGGAGGGACGGAGCGGGCCGGAGGGACAAUAGCGGAGGUGGCGGGAAAAAGCGUUAUCCCGCCGGUGCCCAUGCCGAGGAGCAGCUGACGGCGGCGGGGACGCGGAAAUGGAGCCGCGGCCGGGCCGGGCCGUGCGGGCGCUGUGCGGCCUCUUCCUCCUGCUGCUGCUGCUGCUGCUGCAGCAUCCCGGCCGCGCCGAACGGGCCCCCGGCUCCCACCUGGACGACUCGGCCAUCGCAGAGUUCUGCCGCAUCGACAAGGCGCUGUGCCACGACGAGGACGAGCAGCUCAGCUUCGAGGCCGUGCGCAACAUCCACAAGCAGAUGGACGACGACGCCAACGGCAACGUGGACGUGGAGGAGAGCGACGAGGUCAGUGCAGGGCCUUGAGCUGCUGGAACGGAGGCUGGAUGGAGCUAGGAGGAAUAAAGAGGAUAAUUAUUGAAGGGCCUUCAACGGCCACGUCCUGGCAGCCCCAGAGCCACAGUCCUGGCUCUGCCCAGAUGGCUCCAAGAUGGGAGCAAAAGGGCUUGGUCAGGAUAUUUCACAUUUUCAUAAGUUUAGUCCAUUUGCAUUCAGGAGUCAGCUCUCCAAUUAAUAGAUUCAAAAGAUUAUGUUUCAUCCUCCUUGCUCGCUUGCCCGCCCUCCUCUUUUCACGUUGUUUGAGCUUUGGGCCUGAAGUUUGAAGAGAUUGUCCUUGAGUCUCCAGCUGGAAUAGGAUUGUUUUGUCUUCCCCACGCUGUGAAAAGAUCCCAGUAACACUUAAUAUAAAGCUAAAAGCUGCACACCAAAACAGAACAGAGAAUCUUAAACCCCAGGGUAUCAGCAGGGCCUUGUCCAGCCCGGUGCUGCGGCUGCUCUCACAGU
rnacentral:lncRNA from 1 species